UAGGGAAUAUUGGUAAUGUGCGAAAGCGCGAACCAGCAACGCCGCGUGCGCGAUGACGGCCUUCGGGUUGUAAAGCGCUUUUAGAGGAGAUGAGAAAGGACAGUAUCCUCUGAAUAAGCCUCGGCGAACUACGUGCCAGCAGCCGCGGUAAAACGUAGGAGGCUAGCGUUAUCCGGAUUUAUUGGGCGUAAAGCGCGUGCAGGCGGUCUAGUUAGUUGGAUGUGAAAGCUCCUGGCUUAACUGGGAGAGGUCGUUCAAUACUGCUAGACUAGAGAAUGGGAGAGGGAGGUGGAAUUCCGGGUGUAGUGGUGAAAUGCGUAGAUAUCCGGAGGAACACCAGUGGCGAAAGCGGCCUCCUAGACCACUUCUGACGCUAAGACGCGAAAGCUAGGGUAGCAAACG
rnacentral:rRNA from 1 species